GUUCUGGCAGUUGGUACAGUUAUGGCAGGUGAAUUGUCUUAACAGGUAGAGUAGCAGGAAUGUUAUGUUGUGCUGCUGUCCUCCUCAUAGUUAGUUAGCCUGUAGCAGUUUAAUCAAAGUAAGUGGUUUUAGCAACUUAAGUAUCUGUAUUGUAUAUUUUAAUCUGAAAGUGCAAGUACAGUGAUACCUCGGUUUUAGAACAUAGUCCAUUCUGGAAGACCGUUCGAGUUCUGAAACCUUAGAAAACCAAGGCACAAAGGGCAGCCUGUAAAUUUGAUAGAAUUGCAAAAACCUCAGCGGAAGCCAUUCAACUUCAGAGGUGCGUUUGAAAAUGGAACCAUUUACUUCCAGGUUUUUGGCGUUUGGGUUCCAAAAUGUUCGUCAAUGGAAACAUUCAAAACCCGAGGCACCACUGUACACUAAGUUAAAGUUAUGUGUUAUUUAAACUAGGGCUGUCGCACUUCCGGAAAUUCCCAGACAUAGUUGGGAUUCAGCUGUCGGAAACAGUGCCCAGGCAAAAAUUGUUUAAAUGUCCGGGAAAAUCUGGACGUAUGGCAACCCAUGUCAGAAGUGUAGAUUUUGGUGAAUGUCUUUAAAAAUAGCUCAAAAACUUCUCUCUUUUUUGAGAUUUUGCAACAACUUAGCCCCAAAAACUUUUCACUUUUUGAAAUAUGGCAACCCUAAUUUAAUCUUUAAAAGAGAGUGUGUAGUUUUUAUAGGAGGAAAAAACAACAACCAAUGAAAGGGUCAAAUGACCUAGGGCUGUCUUUCGCAUACUCUGCAAAUGGGAUAUGGAGUCUAAUUCCCACAGAAAGAGCACCAGAGAUUCACCUUUUCAACAGUGGCUUUCCAUGUCUCCCAUCCCAGUUGUCCUUGUCUAACACAGGAUCACCUUAGACUAGGCAUGGCCAAACUUGGCUCUCCAGCUGUUUUUGGACUACAACUCCCAUCACCCCUAGCUAACAGGACCAGUCGUCAGGGAUGAUGGGAAUUGUAGUCCCAAAACAGCUGGAGGGCCAAGUUUGGCCAUGCUUGCCUUAGACAGACAGGGUCUAUAAUUCUCCCUUGCCUCAACUUCCUCAAAAGCCCUCCUCCAUCCUUUGAAAACUUUUUGCAAGGCACUUUGUGUGUGUGCACAUGUGUCUCAACUGGCCAGGCCCACCAGUAACUAGUCUCCAGUACAGGAAGUCAGAAAGACUAGGUCUUGGGGUACACUUCCAGCUGCAAGAGAAUCAGCUGACUUUCCAAGCCAGUCAGGACCCACCAAGCUCCCUAAGACCCUUUGCAGCCCAGAAACUCCUCUCCUUUCUUUCCUCUGGCCUUGAAUGGUUGGCCUGGAAAGCAGAUGUGUGAUUCAGUUUGUGUGUCAAGAAGCAAAAACAUUGUUUUGAAAUGUCAGGUGUUUCAUGGGUAAAGUAAGCACUUGGGUUCCAGCCUUUGACUACCUGCAGAGAGUUGCUACUAGUAAAGACACUGAGAAGCGAAAGUAGGUUUUGCCUUUAAGGAGGAAACAUCUUGUCUUCGUUCCAGAGACUCCAUCAAAGAUAGAAGAAUGGGAAAAGCCCCAGAGGAGAAAUUUUAUCACGGCCCCAAAUCUUUGCAGCAUCAGCAACUCUUCAUUGCGAAUCUCAGGGAACUUGUUGAUCAUCUCAGAGACCCAGCGUGUGAAAAGAGCUUCGUAUUUCAUCCCAAGAAAAAUCCAGCAUUACUUAACAGUCUUCCGAUUCACCAAGAAAGAGGGCAUAUUUUGUCAAUGUGCUCCUCUGGACUUGAUGAAGGUUAAAGCCUUCCCUGACCACAGAAAUCACUGGGGGAAAUCUUGGGCAAGUUGUGGGGGUUUAGGGCCUUGGUUUCACCUCUAGGAAAUAAAGUUG